GUUGUGGCUCAGUGGUAGAGUGCUUGUCUAGCAUGCAUGAGGCACUGGGUUCAAUCCCCAGCACGACA
rnacentral:tRNA from 1 species